rnacentral:rRNA from 1 species
AUUGAACGCUGGCGGCAGGCCUAACACAUGCAAGUCGAGCGGAUGAAGGGAGCUUGCUCCUGGAUUCAGCGGCGGACGGGUGAGUAAUGCCUAGGAAUCUGCCUGGUAGUGGGGGAUAACGUCCGGAAACGGGCGCUAAUACCGCAUACGUCCUGAGGGAGAAAGUGGGGGAUCUUCGGACCUCACGCUAUCAGAUGAGCCUAGGUCGGAUUAGCUAGUUGGUGGGGUAAAGGCCUACCAAGGCGACGAUCCGUAACUGGUCUGAGAGGAUGAUCAGUCACACUGGAACUGAGACACGGUCCAGACUCCUACGGGAGGCAGCAGUGGGGAAUAUUGGACAAUGGGCGAAAGCCUGAUCCAGCCAUGCCGCGUGUGUGAAGAAGGUCUUCGGAUUGUAAAGCACUUUAGGUUGGGAGGAAGGGCAGUAAGUUAAUACCUUGCUGUUUUGACGUUACCGACAGAAUAAGCACCGGCUAACUUCGUG